AGAGUUUGAUCCUGGCUCAGAAUGAACGUUGGCGGCGUGGAUUAGGCAUGCAAGUCGAGCGAGGAAAGUUGUAGCAAUACGGCUUAUUCGAGCGGCGUAAGGGGCAGUAAUACCUGGGAACGUACCCUGAGGUCGGGGAUAGCUGCUGGAAACGGCGAGUAAUACCCGAUGAUCUCGAGAGAGCAAAGGCUUGCCGCCUUCGGAGCGGCCCAGGCGAUAUUAGCUAGUUGGUGGGGUAAAGGCCUACCAAGGCGUAGAUGUCUAGCGGGUGUGAGAGCACGACCCGCGCCACUGGCACUGAGACACUGGCCAGACACCUACGGGUGGCUGCAGUCGAGAAUCUUCGGCAAUGAGCGCAAGCUUGACCGAGCGACGCCGCGUGCGGGAUGAAGGCCUUCGGGUUGUAAACCGCUUUGGUCCGAGAGAAAGGGCAACUUGAUCGAUCGGAGAAACAAGGACGGGCUAAGCUCGUGCCAGCAGCCGCGGUAAU
rnacentral:rRNA from 1 species